AAGCACGACAAAGACGACGAGAACAAAGAAGACGACGACAAAGAAGAAGACGACGAAAAAACAGACGACGAAGAAAGAACGAGCGAAUCCCACAAUGGAGCUACUCAAAUUUUGGUCG
rnacentral:ribozyme from 15 species